UACCAGCACCCCGAGUGGUCGGGACGAUUAUUGGGCCUAAAGCAUCCGUAGCCGGCCUUACAAGUCCCCCGUUAAAUCCAACUGCUUAACAGAUGGGCUGCGGAGGAUACUAUAAGACUAGGAGGCAGGAGAGGCAAGCGGUACUCAGUGGGUAGGGGUAAAAUCCGUUGAUCCAUUGAAGACCACCAGUGGGCGAAGGCGG
rnacentral:rRNA from 1 species